rnacentral:rRNA from 1 species
GGACUACAGGGGUAUCUAAUCCCGUUUGCUCCCCCAGCUUUCGCGCCUCAGCGUCAAGUGGGCCCCAGGAGACCGCCUUCGCCACUGGUGUUCCUACCGAUCUCUACGCAUUUCACCGCUACACCGGUAAUUCCAUCUCCCCCUAGCCACUUCAAGACUGGCAGUAUCCACCGACCCUCCGGAGUUGAGCUCCGGGCUUUCACAGCAGACUUGCCAACCCGCCUACGCGCGCUUUACGCCCAGUAACUUCGGACAACGCUCGCCCCCUACGUAUUACCGCGGCUGCUGGCAC